AGCAGCCGCGGUAAUUCCAGCUCCAAUAGCGUAUAUUAAAGUUGUUGCAGUUAAAAAGCUCGUAGUUGAACUUCGGGGUUUACCCAUUGGUCAGGCUUAAUUGUCUGUACUGGUGAGAUAAAUCUCUACCUUCUGAGGAACUUUCAUGUCAUUAAUUUGGUGUGAUUGGAAAUCAGGACUGUUACUUUGAAAAAUUGAGUGUUUAAAGCAGGCUAACGUCUGAAUACAUUAGCAUGGAAUAAUGAAAUAGGACGGACUGAUUCUAUUUCGUUGGUUUCUAGGAUCACCGUAAUGAUUAAUAGGGAUAGUUGGGGGCAUUAGUAUUCAAUUGUCAGAGGUGAAAUUCUUGGAUUUAUUGAAGACUAACUACUGCGAAAGCAUUUGCCAAGGAUGUUUUCAUUAAUCAAGAACGAAAGUUAGGGGAUCGAAGACGAUCAGAUACCGUCGUAGUCUUAACCAUAAACUAUGCCGACUAGGGAUCGGACGAAGUUAAUUUAUAAUGUAACGCGUUCGGCCACCU
rnacentral:misc_RNA from 1 species